GUGCUAUAGUCCAGUUGGUAGAACAACGGACUCAUAUUCCGUAUGUCAUAGGUUCGAGUCCUAUUAGCACC
rnacentral:tRNA from 1 species